GUGCCUUCUAUACAAAUAAACCUUUGUUAUGAAAGAAUAAUAUUCAAAAAUCUUUUAGAAAAUAAAAGAUGUAAUUUAUUUUUCAAUUUUCAGUUAAAGUUUAACAUACAGCAUGUUUAUGUAAAAAUUGAUGAAAAUCUGUGACAUGGCCCAUGUACUCUAAUUUAACCAUAACCACUGAGAUAUUUGAACUUCCAAAAAGAGCAAAAAAAGUUUUUUACAUCUUUAUUCAGAAACCUAUCAUUGAUAUGGAAUCUUGUUUCAUGGGUAAUACUAGUAAACAAAAGAAGAUGUGUGCGAGGACACGAAUGCCCCCUCUCAAUCUUUCCAAUUUCCCACGUUUAAAAGGAGCAUAACUUUAGAAUGAUAAAUGAUUCACACCCCAAACUCAAAACUCUGUCUGAGUGUUGUGAUCCUUAGCAUUGUGUAUGAGUUUCAUAAAAUUUGAGUCAAGGCUAAGACUUAAUUAUUGCCUAAGGCGGACACAUAAACAUGUUGGUUUUACUUUGACUUUAAGUAAUUGAUUAGAAAUGAAACAUUACAACAUUACAGGCACCAACUCUUCUGUAACUGGUACAUUAAUGGCAUGCUAGAUAAUAAGGAACCAACUCUUCUGUAACUGGUACAUUAAUGGCAUGCUAGAUAAUAUGGAAACUAAAGUAGUUUAUUU
rnacentral:lncRNA from 1 species